rnacentral:rRNA from 1 species
CGCGUAGGCGGUUCCGUAAGUCCCGUGUGAAAUCCCCCGGCUCAACUGGGGAAUGGCACGGGAGACUGUGGGGCUUGAGUUCGGGAGAGGGAAGCGGAAUUCCGGGUGUAGCGGUGAAAUGCGUAGAUAUCCGGAGGAACACCGGUGGCGAAGGCGGCUUCCUGGACCGACACUGACGCUAAGGCGCGAAAGCUAGGGGAGCAAACGGGAUUAGAUACCCCGGUAGUCCUAGCUGUAAACGAUGAGCGCUGGGUGUGGGAGGUACUAAACCCUUCCGUGCCGAAGCUAACGCAUUAAGCGCUCCGCCUGGGGAGUACGGUCGCAAGGCUGAA